CUUGAGAGCGGCGGACGGGUGAGUAAUGCCUAGGAAUCUGCCUGGUAGUGGGGGAUAACGUUCGGAAACGGACGCUAAUACCGCAUACGUCCUACGGGAGAAAGCAGGGGACCUUCGGGCCUUGCGCUAUCAGAUGAGCCUAGGUCGGAUUAGCUAGUUGGUGAGGUAAUGGCUCACCAAGGCGACGAUCCGUAACUGGUCUGAGAGGAUGAUCAGUCACACUGGAACUGAGACACGGUCCAGACUCCUACGGGAGGCAGCAGUGGGGAAUAUUGGACAAUGGGCGAAAGCCUGAUCCAGCCAUGCCGCGUGUGUGAAGAAGGUCUUCGGAUUGUAAAGCACUUUAAGUUGGGAGGAAGGGUUGUAGAUUAAUACUCUGCAAUUUUGACGUUACCGACAGAAUAAGCACCGGCUAACUCUGUGCCAGCAGCCGCGGUAAUACAGAGGGUGCAAGCGUUAAUCGGAAUUACUGGGCGUAAAGCGCGCGUAGGUGGUUUGUUAAGUUGGAUGUGAAAUCCCCGGGCUCAACCUGGGAACUGCAUUCAAAACUGACUGACUAGAGUAUGGUAGAGGGUGGUGGAAUUUCCUGUGUAGCGGUGAAAUGCGUAGAUAUAGGAAGGAACACCAGUGGCGAAGGCGACCACCUGGACUAAUACUGACACUGAGGUGCGAAAGCGUGGGGAGCAAACAGGAUUAGAUACCCUGGUAGUCCACGCCGUAAACGAUGUCAACUAGCCGUUGGAAGCCUUGAGCUUUUAGUGGCGCAGCUAACGCAUUAAGUUGACCGCCUGGGGAGUACGGCCGCAAGGUUAAAACUCAAAUGAAUGACGGG
rnacentral:rRNA from 1 species